rnacentral:lncRNA from 1 species
CUGUGAUCACUCACCUGAUUUUGUUUCUUAUGACGGUGCUUUUUUGUGUGUAAAUAAUUGUUAAAUUUCGUGUUUCUGUGAGGAGGAUGAUCAGUAGAGGAUUUUAUUCAGCCAUAUUGCUCUGCUUCCCCCCCUUUUUGUUUUUUGUUUUUUAGAUGCGGUCCUGCUCUGUCACCUGGGCUGAAGUACAGUGGUGUGAUGAUAGUUUACUGCAGCCUCAAACUCCUAGCCUCAAGUGAUCUUCUUGCCUCAUCAUCCUGAGUAGUUUUGGAAUCCCGAAGCCCAAAGAGGAAGUGAGGAGCCCCAGGUCCCACCAUCAGGUAAGCAGCAGAGUCUGGGAAGGACCUGGAUGUUGCGAUUCUAGCCCAUGUUCUUUUCACGACCCAGCAUUCAACCAUCGGCAAUUUCUUUUCCAAUAUUUACCACUUUUAUAAAUUAAUAUAUGAAUAGAUUUUCUUCCAAUGUGCUUCUUACACUACAAUUGAUCUUGAAAAUACAGAUAAAAAUGUAAGUUCUCUGAUUCAAGGAUUACAGGACUUCCAAACAUCAUUUAUAGUAUUUAAAAAACUGCAAUUUUAAUUUCCAUGGAAAUUGUGGCUUAUAGCAAUAAUAAUUCCAUUACUGUUGAUGAACCAACCGAGUUAAUACAGUUUGUGU